CCCUUCUGCAGUCCAAAUUUAGCCCAUCGCUAAUAUGCUUCCUUGCGGUUCCUCCUCAUUAUUCCUGGCCAAAACAAAGGUGCACGGGUUUCCACGGUCUAAAUAAUACAACAAAUAACUCAGGAAUGAACUCACUAGAUAGUUGAGUUAUCAUGCAUAUGAAUCUGAGGCGUGGAUGUAUUGAUGGUGCUCAUGUCCUCAUCAUCCUCCCCUUCUUGCAUUUGAGUCGUCCUCGACUCAAGCUUGUCCUCUUCUAUUGAUGGUACUCAUGUCCUCAUCAUCCUCCCCUUCUUGCAUUUGAGUCGUCCUCGACUCAAGCUUGUCCUCUUCUCCCAAGUAGGGCAUAAUGGUCCCCAAUCA
rnacentral:lncRNA from 1 species